GAAUAUUCUCAGUGUUGUCCUGAUUAAAAUUAUCCCAGACUAGCCCUAACAAUGAGCAAAAUUAUUAGUUCCAAGAAAAGUAUCUUAAGCAGCGUCUCUGCAAAAUGUCUACGGAUUAGAUUGGAAUGAAGCAAUAUUUCUCCAGUGGAUUGGGACUGAAAUGCAGAGGAAGGGCUGCAGUCUCCUGAUGUCGCCUCUCACAGUUUGUUAUUCCAACAGAAAUGGGAACUUGGUAAUGAAGGUUCUGACAGAGGUUUCUUCAUGGAUGUGAUCUCAAUCACUUCCGUCCUCAGAUACAUAACUUCUUACCCUCCCAGAGGUCCUCCUGAAAUCCCACAGGGCAGAGUGUGACUAUGGUAACACACAAUAUGCUACAAAGGUCUGGUAAAACUUUCCAUGGUUAUACUGAUGCAUACCAGCAAGCAUUUGAAACACAUCUUCAAGAUGACAGGACAUAUCAGAAUCAAAAGAUAAGGAAAAUUGUGUUUCAUUAUAUCUCUGCCAGGAAUUUCUUCUUGCAGAAGAUGGUGAGUUGCUGGAAUUUUCUGUCCUGGCAAUUGUGGAAGCUAGAUCCCUGAAAAUACUCAAUAAAAGAGGUGCUGUACAAACAUUUUUGAAAGGUUGCAGAACUGUGGGGAAAUGGCACAGAAGACGAGUCACAGCCUGGGACAGAUCAACCAGGACUGUCCCGAGUGUUGGCACCAGGUUGCCUACACCUGCU